rnacentral:lncRNA from 1 species
AGAUAAUGGACGUGGUAGGGGUAGAAAUGGCACUGGAGAAUGGGUUUGGUGCUUUGAGCUGUGUUUCUACAUAAAAAAGAAGGAAUCAAAGUGAUGCUGGGGUGACAAUAUAACAUUUGAAGCUGCUCCAAACAACUUUGACUGUAAGAAAAAGGCCAAGAGAAUACAAGAGGCUCUAACCAAGGACUCUGACUUCACUAAGCCAC